rnacentral:rRNA from 1 species
UACGGGGGGAGCAAGCGUUGUUCGGAUUUACUGGGCGUAAAGGGCGCGUAGGCGGCGCAACAAGUCACUUGUGAAAUCUCCGGGCUUAACCCGGAGCGGCCAAGUGAUACUGUCGUGCUAGAGUGCGGAAGGGGCUACUGGAAUUCUCGGUGUAGCGGUGAAAUGCGUAGAUAUCGAGAGGAACACCUGCGGCGAAGGCGGGUAGCUGGGCCGACACUGACGCUGAGGCGCGAGAGCGUGGGGAGCGAACCGG